rnacentral:rRNA from 1 species
UACGAAGGGUGCAAGCGUUACUCGGAAUUACUGGGCGUAAAGCGUGCGUAGGUGGUUUGUUAAGUCUGUUGUGAAAGCCCCGGGCUCAACCUGGGAAUGGCAAUGGAUACUGGCAAGCUAGAGUGCGGUAGAGGGUAGUGGAAUCCCGGUGUAGCGGUGAAAUGCGUAGAGAUCGGGAGGAACACCAGUGGCGAAGGCGGCUACCUGGACCAGCACUGACACUGAGGCACGAAAGCGUGGGGAGCAAACAGG